rnacentral:lncRNA from 1 species
GAAUAGAAUAGAAUAGAAUAGAAUAGAAUAGAAUAAGAAAGAAUGAUAACAAAGGUUUGUGGCUUGGGCUCUCUGUCUGAGCCAGCUGACUGUGAUUGGCCAUUAAUUAGAAACAACCACAUGAGACCAAUCGCAGAUGCACCUGUUGCAUUCCACAGCAGCAGAUAACCAUUGUUUGCAUUUUGUUCCUGAGGCUUCUCAGCUUCUCAGGAAGAAAAAAUCCCAAGAAAAGGAUUUUCCAUAAAAAGAUGUCUGUGACAGUGUGUGGAUGCUUUGAGGGGUCACACAGCUCUUGCACCACUGUCAGCCUUAACCUGCCUGUGGGCUCCUUAAAGGACAAUCUGGAGAUGGUUUGUCCCUCCUGCAUCUUCCUGUCACCCUCCUUGUCCCCAAGCAAUCCCUUGGGCUGAAUUUCCUGAUUACAGGGAGCUGCUCCCACAGGUUGGAUGGAUUCUCCAUUCUCUCCCCUCCCCAAAAUACUUAUUAAAAUGAAAUUUGGCAGAAGAAGACAAAGAUCUAGGAUAGUUUUUAAAUAUUAUGCCUAGCUGUUUUUACUGUAAAAGGAAUUCCAGGACUCUCAGGGAGUCUUUGCAGGGCAGGUUUAGCUGUCAUCAUUUUGAGUCACACCUGGAAGACUUUUGCAUUAAUUUUGUGGACAGAUUCUUAAAUUAAUAAUAAUAAUAAAUUAAUACAUUUUAAAUUAAAAUUGGGGAUAGAUGCUGCAUCCUGCUGCAUGCCAUGGUAGCACCUGCUCAUGGGGUGCCAACCCUCACCUCCCUGGGGUCACCAGUGUGUGAUUGUCGGGGCACUGGGAUGGUGCAUUGGUGUCACCCUCACUCCUCCUCCUCACCUUCACCCAGGCAAAGCUCUGAAAUGCCACAAAUGUGUGGCAUCCAACGAGAACGAGUGCAACCAGCAGGGAUCCCACAGCUGCCCCCAGUACGCCGACGCCUGCUCCACCAUCACUGCACCCAACAGCAUCAUCAAAUCCUGCUCCUACAAAUCCUUCUGUGACCAGGCC